rnacentral:lncRNA from 1 species
UUCUCUGUAAAGGGGAGAACUAGGCUGCAGGUUUGUCCUCAGUUGGCUUUUUUUUGGUGACCUUAACUUCUUCUCUUGGGUUGUUUACAUACUGGGAUACACAGCCUGGAUUGUGAGAUUCAUUUGUGCAUUUACUCAUUGAAACUUGCACAAAACAUCAUGUUGGCAGGGCUGGCUUCAGUGGAGUGUGACUGGUAUAGUUGUGUGAGGCUCCAAAGCUCAGAAGGACCUUGUUCUUAGUUUAAUGCUCUGCUGUCACCAUCUUGGAAUUUUACUUUUGAACUUGUAUUUUGUCCAUGAAGCCUGAAGGGACAAUGGAAUGAAUGUAUGUAUGAGCAGAGCAGAAGAAAUUCAUGCAAUAUUUGUGUCCACCGUUGCUCAUCACUAUGUUUGCACAUAGUUUGUGAUGUUCCAUGAGUUCUGAGUUCUGAUGGACCCAGGAUGCAUCGAAGUUCAGUGAAACUCAGAGCGAGUACAAGGCAUUUCACUGGAUGCAUAAGGACCCAAAUGGAUAUUACCUACUUGGUAAACAUCUGAGGCACAUGAGAAAAACCAUCAUGCAGAUUUGUGAGGUUAGUAAUGAAUUUUGUGCAUCUAAAAAUGAAAUGAUUCAAGGAUGGCUUUGUCUUUUUUUUUAAAUGAGAUGUUGAAUUGCGCAAACAUGGAGUAUUAUGUAUGUUUUCUUACUGAACAUAGUCUGAGGGCAAAACAUCUAAGCUUGGGAAAAGCCCAAGGACAGCAGGUAAAUAAUUAUAUUCUACACUAAUUAUUGCUUUAUUUCCAUGUUUAUAAUCCAUACUUUUUGUGUAUAACUCUAAUCCAUUCAUAUGCCUUACCCUGCAGUAUUUUAUUGUAUGAAUAUGUCAAAUUUCAUUCUUUUGUAGAUGGACAUUUGGGUUGUUUCCAAUUUUAGGUUAAUACAAAAAUACUGCUGUGCACAUUUUCUCUCUAUAUAUAUGCUGAUGUUCACAUGUGUAUCUAGAGUAUAAUAUAUCUAGGAGAGGGAUUGUUGGGACAUAGGGUAAAGUGUCUUUGAUUGUCUAGAUAAUGCCAAUUUUUUUUCCAAAAUAGUCAUGUCUAUUCCUCAGCAACACUUGGUAUUGUCAGAAUUUUUAAUUUUUUCUACUUUGAAUGUACAGCGACAUCUGAUUUUUAAAGUUUAUUGGUAUUAAAUAUGGUUAUUCCUAAUUUGGGUUUCUUUUUUCAUGAAGUAUUUAAAUCUUUUGCCUGAAUAUAUUGUUAAUUAACCAAGUAAUACUAAGCAGGCCAAGUCUCAUUUUCCUCAGCUGUAGAAUGGGGUGGUAAAAUCAGUCAUUGACAUCUGAACACAAUAGUACCAACCUGGCAUUGCUGCUUCUGUCCAAGGUGAACUCCAUUUCCCUGGGAUCACCUCUUCUCCAUAUUUUUAAGUUACUGUGAAUCAAAAGAGGAUCCCAUAUAAGAUUUGGAAUGUAGAGUGAUGCAGGGUUAUCUUGGAAAAUUAGGGGAGACCAACACAGUGAUGGACAGACAUAGAGGUAUCUGAUGGUUACCAGGCUGUACCCACUCUGCUUUGCAUUCAGCUAAUUUUUUUGACUGCUGGUCCUGCUAAUCAACAGCGGUCCUAAGUGCCCCACCAGGCACUUCAUUCCAGGCCCACAAAUGUGGUAAUUUCCACAGAGGCAGAAACAUCCCCAGAGUACAAGUUUCCAUUGAAGAGGUAGAAUUGGUUGCUAACUUUCCCUAAAGUUCCCCCCUAUCUAACUGAGCUGGCUCUUCCAGAUGACCUGGUUAGUGAUUAUUUUCUAUUUGAUCCUCUUAUUGCCCCUUGCAGACCUUCAUUUGCCCGGCUCAUACCACACCUGCAUAAACUUUCAUUCCAAUAUAAAACCCCUUAUUUCUGUAAUACCUUUAGUGGCUCUAUAUCCUGAUUUAACUCUGAUUUAUACAGUAGUUUUGACAGCAAAAUAAAAUAGACAUGCACACGUUCUUCCAAAGCUCUAAAUUGCUAUUCAAAUGUAAUUAUUAGGUUGAGCUAAAUAAUGUAUUGCCAAUCUUCUUACAUAGAAGAAGAGAUUAGGUGAUAUUUAGAGUAAGCUAGCAUAGGCUGGUAUGGGCAGUGUGCUUCAUGAAAAUAUUUUAUUCUGUCAUUUGUGUAACUAGAGCAUUUAUUUGUUAUCAGGUUGAUGCCAAAAUACUCUAUCUAGCUUUCCUUUUCAACUAGAUUGCUUGGUAAGUAAGAGGCUAUAAAAUAGACUUUAGAGACAUAGAAUCUCUGAAACAUGUCAAGGGUUCUCAAUUAAUAUUUGAAGUGUAGAAUAUAGUGAAAUAUCUAGAGACACAUAUCAGGAACACCUGAAAAGAUAUAGGGAUAAUGUAAAAGUGAAUUUUAAAAAUAUGUAAAAAUCCUCUGCUACAAAUUGCCCAUUUCUCUCUGCCUCUGUGACAUAUUAAAACUGAGCCUGGCAGCGGGUCGUUUGCAAAGUUUGUCAAAGACUCAGACAUUUUUGAUAUUAUUUGUGACAGAUUUUCCCAAGUCUACUGAGCUAAUGUAUAGUUUUAUAACGAUCGCAGUUUUCUACUUAAUAGAGCAAUAAUUGGUUAGCCAAAUAGUGGAUUUCAGCAGCUGUUUUCUUAUUUAAUAGCCAGAAUAAUAGUCAUAGGGCUAUUCAACCAUUCAAGAUUUCAAAACUGACACUUCUGUGAUUAUGAGGUACCUUAGAGAAUCAUAGAAAAGACUGUAUGAACAGAAUUAUUAUAGUCAAAAUGUAGUUGGGGUGAGAGUAGGGGGAGGAAGGUGCUAAAUGGCAUAUCACUCUGGGUAGGACUCAUUAAAAAUCUUUCAAUAUCACUUACAAGCAAUAGUGUCUUUAAGUUUCUCUCUUCUCUUAAUGAUGUGCUUCUCAGCUAAUUUAGUUCUCUAUGUAACAAGACCCUAGUCUAUGCCCUCUGGGUGAUUCCAGUAUAAUUUCUGUUACCAAAAAGCCUGUGGUAAUGUAGGAGAAUAAAGAUUGACUCACUUAUAAUAACUUAUAAAAGACUUAUAGACCCAAACUAUAAGAAAGCAGAUCAAUAAGGUUAAAAUAAAUAAAUAAAUAAAUAAAUAAAUAAAUAAAAGACUUAGAGACUGACAUGAUUUGGAGACAAAUUGAAUGUUGAAAACAAAGGAGUCAAAAAUGGCUUUGAACUUGCUCGUUUGCUUUAUUUAGACAAGAAUAAUGGCCACUAAUGGAAUUAUAUUACCUAGGAGUUGAGAAAUGAGUUUCAAGUACGGAUGAUAAGUCUGACUUUGAGUAUGCUAGGACUGCAAUGAAUAUUUGCUCAAGAAGGUAUAUGGGAAUAUCCAAGUAAUUGCAAAAUUGUGCACCAAAUUCAGGAGAAAGGACAAGGUGAAAGAUAACCACUCAAGUAAUUGAUUUUUAUAUAGAAUUUGCAAUUAACAUUAGCACCAGUUUUGAGAUUAGUAGAAAAUAUCUCAUGACGGAUCAGAUAAUAAUUUUUAAUUGAAGCAAAAAUACAUGUGUGAUCUUUCAUUUUGUACCUGAAAUUUGAUACUGCUUUGCUGUUAAAGAAAAAAAAUUCUCAUAUGGCUAAUCAGAAACUGUAUAAGCUGAAGAAAAUGUGAAGAAGUGUAGGCUAAUGACCAUUGGCUGUGAUGAUUAGAAACAUUUCCAGUAGGAAGUGGAAAAAUUAAAUAAAAAGUGGACUUGGAAAGAAGUCAAUAUACCAGCAUUCAGAAUUGUUUCCCAAAAUUUUCUAAGCAAUAUUUUUGUUCUGCUUAUUUUCUUGUUGUGAGUAGAGAGUUAUGUCCUCCUCCCAAUAUGUUGAAGUCCUAACUCCCUGUGCUUAUGAAUGUGACCUUCGAUAGAAGGUCUUAGAGAUGUAAUCAAGUUAUGCUGAGGUCAUUAAUACGGACCCUGGGUCCUUAUGAAAAGAGGAAAAUACAAUAUGAAGACAGACUUACAGGGAGAACACUGUAUGAUGGUGGAGGAAGAGAUGGGGAGGGAAUUGAACCUGCAAGCAAGGGACACCAAGGGAGGCUGCUAAGAGUAUGUUUUAUUAUUUUAAUCUAUCCAGUUUCUGAUAGUUUUUUAUGGCAGCCCUGCGAAACAAAUACCUCUUGUUUUUCUCUCUCUUACUUAAUAUCAUAUCUUUACUUUAUCAGCAAAUAUUUGUAAAACAUCUGCUCUGCUUCGGUUACCCUGUUCCUCCAUUUCUCAGCUUUCUCAAUUGCCCUCUUAAGACAACUUUUGGCAUUUGGAAGAUUAAUAAUUAGGAAGAGAUGUGAACAGGGCUACUUUGCUUGAUCUUUUUUCCUCAGUACUAUUGAAGAUGUUCCCAGUAGUGUCAUCUAUUGACAAGGAAUGACACCUGUAGAUGAAUAUUUUCUGGCAUUUAUGGGUUCUUGGCUCCAAAGGUGUGCUAAAUGUGUCAAGUUUAUCUACAGAACCCUGAGAUAAAUGACAUGCUUGAUGCUAGGCUUGGAAGGCUUGUUUAUAUGAGAAGUGGUAAGUCCGAUGCUGCAAGUUACCACUAACUGGAGAUCAGCAUCAGAAGGUAUAAAAGACUUCUCAGGAGAAUGGCACAAUCUGAGAAGACCUCAGGUUCUUUAAAAAAAAAUCUUAUAAGUGAAUUGUAUUUGUGUUACAAGGAGUAAUGUACCACUACUAGACAAUGAGUAUGCUCACUGGAUGACUAAAGGUGACUAUAAAAGCUGCUGCUGUUGAUCAGGCAGUAAAGAUACACACCAUGUAUGGUUUGUUAGCUUCUUGGAUUAGUGAUGUCAGACAUACUUGCCACAAUUUCCUCCAGUAACUUAAUUCUUAUCCUGAAUUUGUUGGCUGUGAGCAUACCCCACAUUAGGGCUAACAAACUGGGUAGAAUGUAGAAAAUGCUAUCUUGAAAACAUUUCCUCUGAAAUCCGAGAGGAAUAGGAAUCAGUCUCUGAAGUGAUCCUAUAAUGAAUCGAUCAGAAAAUUUAGAAAUGAAUUAAAUGUUAUGCUUUUUGGUUAAGUCUUUCUGUGAAUGCCAUUAAGUACUCCUACUUUUCAAUUUAUGACAACAUGGGUCAAUUAUUAUGGCUUAUUAGAAGGAUGGAAAACCAAGUGAAUACAGAGAUAGAUUAUUAUCUAGGCAUUGGGAAUCCAAAUGUUGUAAGACUUACCUUUGGAAAUCACUUCAUUGAAAGCUUAUUUGAUAUCUACUCAAGUCUAUAUAUUUAGACAAUUCAAUAAUACACUGUUUCUUUCUGACAGCAUUUUGAUGAGUCAAGUCUGCCUAGUACAAUUUACUUGACAUACAAGUCUUCUCAGACCUAAAAUUACAAAGAUAUGCACCAGUACUUCAUUACACUGAAGGAAAUAUGAACUAUGAAACAUUUUUUACGUUUCUGACUUUUGAGUCUAUUGUAAUUCCUUAGAGUUGAAUACUGUAGGAACAUUUUGGUAUAACAAACCAGAUAGUAUUAAAUAAUCUAUUUUCUACAAGAAAGUAGAAGAUGUCAGUCUUGAAGGCAGAUAAAAAUUCUAAGUUCAUUUUCUUUUUUCAUUAUUAUAGUUGAUUUGCAAUGUUCUAUCAAUUUCUGCUGUACAGCAAAUUGACAUAAUAUAUAUGUAUACACACACACACACACAUAUGCAUUUUCUCAGAUUAUCAUCCAUCAUGUUCCAUCACAAAUGAUUAGAUAUAGUUCCCUAUGCCAUACAGUAGGGUUUCAUUGCUUAUCCACUCCAAGUGCAAUACUUUGCGUCUACUAACCCCAAACUUCCAAUCCAUCCCACUCCCUCCCCUUUCCUCCUUGGGAACCCCAAGUCUGCUCUUCUUGUCCAUGAUCUGUUUCUGUUUUUUGUUUCUGUUUUCUUUAGAUAGGAUCAUCUGUUCCAUAUUUUAGAUUCCACAAGUAAGCGAUAUCAUAUAGUAUUUGUCCUUUUCUUUCUGGCUUACUUCACUUAGUAUGAUAGUCUCUAGGUCCAUCCAUGUUGCUGCAAAUGGCAUUAGUUUGACUUUUUUAUGGCUGAGUAAUAUUCCAUUGUAUAUAUGUACCACAUCUUCUUAAUCCAUUCAUUUGUUGAUGGACAUGACAACUGUAUGUAAGAGAAUGAAAUUAGAACAUUUUCUAACACUAUACACAAAAAUAAACUCGAAAUGGAUUAAAGACCUAAAUAUAAGGCCAGAUACUAUAAAACUCCUAGAGGAAAACAUAGGCAGAAUGCUCUUUGACAUAAAUCACAGCAACAUCUUGUUUGACUCAUCUCCUAGAAUAAAGCCAGUAAAAACACAAAUAAACCAAUGGGACCUAAUUAAACUCAAAAGCUUCUGCACAGCAAAGGAAACCAUUAAAAAAUGAAAAGACAAACCACAGAAUGGGAGAAACCCUUUGCAGAUGACUCAACCAAAGAAGGUUUUAUCUCCAAAAUAUGCAAACAACUCAUAUAAUUCAACAGCAAAAAAAAAAAAA